GAGAGGUCAUAAUUCGUGAACUGAGGUUGACCUUCCCCUUGCAGUGUAAAAUGAUAAACUCAAGCAUGCCAACUUGCCAACUAAUGGAAGAGUGGCCGUAUCUCUUCACACCGGAUGGAAUGUUUGUGCACUUUCAAGAACUGGUCGGCGUUCACAUCGCAGAUAUGCUCCCGACGUCGUUCAGGGAAAAGGGAAGAAAAAACAUUCUAAAUUUGCAAAGCAAGACACAGAAAGAUCGGGCACAGCUGCUCCAAUAUUCCAAGAGCUAGAAGAAGCACCAGGGCCAGAACCACAGAAUAAGGCUAUGGCAGUCACUUUGCUGCUAUUGCACUUCUUAGAUGAGCUCCAACAUGGUGUGCUGCUUCUUCGUGAUAAAUGAGCUGUAGCACCUUUGCUUGGCACCAUUUUCGAAGUCAACUACAUGUCAGCUACAAGUCAGCUACACAACACAACAGAACCACGUGAAUACCUGCUUCUCCCCAGUGGUGCGCCGUAUGCUGUGGUUAUUUAUGAAGUUCUUUGCUGGUCAGAAUUCAGUGGUGCUAUGUUAAAGGUGCCCUGGUCAGUGCUGUAUUCCGCCUCCUGCCACCACUGCUAAGAGAGGAGACAGAUGGAGUCAUCAAGAAGUUGAAGCCGGGAGAGGCCCAUGUGUAUCCUACCAU